rnacentral:rRNA from 1 species
UACGUGAUCCUCGAGCGUUAUCCGGAUUUAUUGGGCGUAAAGCGCACGUAGGUGCAUUGUUAGGUCUUCUGUCAAACUUCUGAGGCUUAACCUUAGAAUCGCGGAAGAAACCGGCAAAGUAGAGGGCGUUAGGGGCUGAUGGAACGGUCGGUGUAGGGGUGAAAUCCGUUGAUAUCGACCGGAACACCAAAAGCGAAGGCAUUCAGCUGGGGCGACCCUGACACUGAGGUGCGAAAGCGUGGGGA